rnacentral:rRNA from 1 species
AAACAUUGCCUUUAGCACAAAGUAUUAAAGGUAACGCCUGCCCAGUGAAAAUUUAAACGGCCGCGGGACCCUCCACCGUGCAAAGGUAGCAUAAUCACUUGUCCCCUAAAUAGUGACUAGUAUGAAUGGCCAAAUGAAGAUUUUACUGUCUCUUAUAGCCAAUCUAUGAAACUAAUCUGCCAGUACAAAAGCUGACAUUCUACCAUAAGACGAAAAGACCCUGUGGAACUUUAAGCAUAAUUCAACUAAUGAACUACUGCUUUUAGUUGGGGCAACUUUGGAAAUAAACAAAACUUCCAAUAAAUAAUUAAGAUAAACAUAUCUAAUACAAACAAGACCCAGAAUUUAUACUGACCAAAGAACCAAGCUACCCCAGGGAUAACAGCGCCAUCCCCUCCUAGAGCCCAAAUCGACGAGCGGGGUUUACGACCUCGAUGUUGGAUCAGGGCCCCCAAACAGUGCAGCAGCUGUUAAAGGUUUGUUUGUUCAACAAUUAAUUAGCCCUACGUGAUCUGA